GAAGCUCUCUGCAAUAAAAACCUUCUCCCUCAAUGUUAGAACCAAAAUAAAGAGCUGCUUCCACACACACACACACACACACACACACACACACACACACACACACACACACACACACACACACACACACACACACACACAAAUACACAUACAGGCUCACAUACACCCUUCAAAGAAUUCAAUCAGCCGUUAACAUACCAGCCUAGUCAUUUCAGCAACUUUCAAUUCCUAUUAAGUUGUUGCAGUUGCACGGCCUGCCAUUCAAAAAAUUCAGGGAGAUGUUCACAUAUGCAGUGACAGACUGUCCAGUAAGGACUACAGUACCCAUGAUGCUACACCCACUAGUGACCUCUAACCUCUGACUCCUAGUUCAGGUAUCCAUGGCCAGCCAGCCUCUGUCAUACCCUCUCUAGAACCUCAGCAACCAGUUAGUUAGUUUACCCUCAGCAACCGCUAGCUACCUUCUAUCAAUGGCCUGGCCUUACAUGUGCAACUGCCUUUUUCUUCCCCCUAGCACAGUUUCCUUCUGAACUCUGGUUCCCACACACACACACUCACUUUUUAUUUUCUGUUAGAGACAUAUUAAGUAACAGUGUUCAUGCUCCAGUGGGGAUGCUUGCGUGUUGAGAUGAGUGUUAAGUGAACCCAGAGAUUCACCACAGUUUGUUUUUCUUGUUUUAGGAGUAAACAAAAUAAUCACACACACACACACAUACAGGAAGCCACAUUCACCCGAUCUGCAAUGUCUGCUUAGGUCAGCUUUACAAUCAGAGCAGUGUGUCAGGUUAGUUGGAGAGGUGAGAGGCGCAGUGGGCAGGACAGGUAGGUGGUAGAGGACAGGACUCAAAGUAAGGGGAAUGCAGUCAGGAGAUUCAGCCUAAUGUAUAAUACAAUAUAGUGGCUUGUUAUAAGGUUGUAUUCAAGUUGUACUAAAGUGUGUGAGGUUAAAAUAAAGUAGUAUUUAGAUGGAGGGGACAGCAGAGAUUGUGGCAAUUCCACAUUGUUGUUUAAAUUGGAUUGAGUGUUUUUUAUUUCUAGUUCAGGUAGUCCCAGUUCUUAUCUACCAGGAUAGUGAUUCCUGUUGCCCUUGGAAUCGUACUGUAUGUGCAGUAGUUGUCUUUGUUUAUACGUUUUCUCUCCCAUUGUUGUGCCAAGUGAAUGUAGCAUUGUCCCUGUCUGAUGUUUGUUAGCCAUGUACUGUAUGUGUUUUUGUCCGUACUCCUUUACUGUGACCCGAAAAUGUCUUCAAUUUCAUUUGCCUCACACUAGACGGAUUUCUAUAACUCAGGAAGGGUUAGUGCAGAGUGGGUGGGUAAGAAUGGAGAUUGAGUGAGCAUAUUGCCUGUGUGUUGGUGUGUCAAGCUGGCAGCAUACGCACGCCUAACGGUAUGUAGAAGUAUGUCUUUGACCUCAGUAAAUGGAAUGCUUUGUCAGUCAAUGCUCCAGCUAGAAGUUCAUCUACAGUCUGACUGUCAAGAAGCUGGAUACACGAAACGAUUCUCCAUUCUGCAGUCCAGGAAAACUGUCAGUCAGAGAGAGUGAUGUAAGAUAGAGAAGAAGGAAAAUAAAUAAUGAGUGAUAUCAAAAAGACAGAGACAUGCGCCUGGCUAGGGAGAGGUGUACUGUGCUUGUCCUUGGAGAGCCAUUCUUGGGAUGUUUGUGGUGUUGUGAGGGAGAGGUGAAGGACAGGUGACAUGGUAGUACCACGAUUUCAGUGGAAGAGGUGUGUAUGUAGUGUUGACAUAGAGAGUCUCCCUGCCCUGGGGCUGUUGGCUUUCAGGUGGAUUUACAAUGUUUACCAGCCUCUGGUGAAGUAAGAGGACAUUCCUGUUCCCUUAGAAAGACUUGUGUGCUCUGUGUUAGUACUCCUGCCUCUGUCCAGUUUCUACUGUGUGUUGUUCGUCGGCAUCAUGUCAAUGGCUGUGUGAGAGUGUGGAGAGACAUGUUUGCCUAAGGCUAGUUGCAUACAGGUAUGUGGAAAUAUGUGUGUACACUUUUUUGUUUAAACUUGAGCUAGGUUGUCCCCACCAGCCUUUCAUAAUGAUGUUGUUUAUUUUCUGUGUGCGUGUGUGUGUGUGUGUGUGUGUGUGUGUGUGUGUGUGUGUGCGUGUGUGUGUGUGUGCGUGCGUGUGUGUGUGUGUGUGUGUGUGUGUGUGUGUGUGCGUGCGUGCGUGCGUGCGUGUGUGUGUGUGUGUGUGUGUGUGUGCGUGUGUGUGUGUGUGUGUGUGUGUGUGUGUGUGUGUGUGUGUGUGUGUGUGUGUGUGUGUGUGUGUGUGUGUGUGUGUGUGUGUGUGUGUGUGUGUGUGUGUGUGUGUGUGUGUGUGCGUGUGUGUGUGUGCGUGCGUGUGUGCGUGUGUGUGGUGUUCUCUCCUAUGGACUUUGAGAUCACUAGCCCUAACCCUCAUAAGAGAGAGAGAGAGAGAGAGAGAGAGAGAGAGAGAGACAAACAAACAAACAAACGAGAUGGGGAGACUGUUUGGAUUCAGUUUUUUGCACAUGGCCGUGUUGUAAACAGUAGUGUUUCCUCUAUUGGCUCCAUCCCGCCUAGCGUCCGGCACGUUCUUGGGUCCAACGAGUUAAGACGCUAGGCGGGUUUCCUGGUUCCACUUUAUAACCAGGAAGUACCUUUCUCAUGGACGCACCCUCUUUUUUGUGUUCAGUUUGGUCCUAUUGUAUAAAAUACUUUUGCUUUCUUUAUUUACCUACCUUUUCGGAAUAGGACCUUUUCCUUGUCUUAGUCUCCUUUGUAGCACUCGACUCUGUCAGGAGACGUGAUUGGACGUCUGUUUGGGGAAUGUUUCAUGUGACUUUGUGACAAGCUUCCUCAUUGGAGGAGCACACACAGCUGACCUUGUUGUCUUUUUUUUAUUUGCUUAUUUACUUCUUGCACAAAUGACAAAUAUAAUGAAUGUUGGUGUGAGCUUCAGCGUUUUGAGAAGAAAAGACAUGUGUUGUUGUUUUUAUUGUUUAUUGCCAUGUUGUUGUUUUAUUUUUGUUUCUUUUUUGGCAAAAAAAAAGAAAAGAGAAUGGUUUUGGCACCUUUUUGUGUUUAAACUGAACAGAUUUCAAUCAGGAUUCCUUUGUUGAAACUUGACUGUUGUUUGACGUCUUGUCAAUAAAUGUCC
rnacentral:lncRNA from 1 species